rnacentral:rRNA from 1 species
GACGAACCGUGCGAACGUUGUUCGGAAUCACUGGGCUUAAAGGGCGCGUAGGCGGGCUGCCGCGUCCGGGGUGAAAUCCUCCCGCUCAACGGGAGAACGGCCUCGGAUACGGGCGGCCUCGAGGGGGGUAGGGGCAUCUGGAACUGUGGGUGGAGCGGUGAAAUGCGUUGAUAUCCACAGGAACUCCGGUGGCGAAGGCGAGGUGCUGGACCCCUUCUGACGCUGAGGCGCGAAAGCCAGGGGAGCGAACGGG